rnacentral:rRNA from 1 species
UGGGGAAUAUUGCACAAUGGGCGCAAGCCUGAUGCAGCCAUGCCGCGUGUGUGAAGAAGGCCUUCGGGUUGUAAAGCACUUUCAGCGGGGAGGAAGGCGUUAAGGUUAAUAACCUUGGCGAUUGACGUUACCCGCAGAAGAAGCACCGGCUAACUCCGUGCCAGCAGCCGCGGUAAUACGGAGGGUGCAAGCGUUAAUCGGAAUUACUGGGCGUAAAGCGCACGCAGGCGGUCUGUCAAGUCGGAUGUGAAAUCCCCGGGCUCAACCUGGGAACUGCAUUCGAAAAUGGCAGGCUAGAGUAUUGUAGAGGGGGGUAGAAGUCCAGGUGAAGCGAUGAAAUGCGUAGAGAUCUGGAGGAAUACCGGUGGCGAAGGCGGCCCCCUGGACAAAGACUGACGCUCAGGUGCGAAAGCGUGGGGAGCAAACAGG